rnacentral:rRNA from 2 species
CGACGAACUCUGGUAUUGAUUGGUGCUUGCAUCAUGAUUUACAUUUGAGUGAGUGGCGAACUGGUGAGUAACACGUGGGAAACCUGCCCAGAAGCGGGGGAUAACACCUGGAAACAGAUGCUAAUACCGCAUAACAACUUGGACCGCAUGGUCCGAGUUUGAAAGAUGGCUUCGGCUAUCACUUUUGGAUGGUCCCGCGGCGUAUUAGCUAGAUGGUGAGGUAACGGCUCACCAUGGCAAUGAUACGUAGCCGACCUGAGAGGGUAAUCGGCCACAUUGGGACUGAGACACGGCCCAAACUCCUACGGGAGGCAGCAGUAGGGAAUCUUCCACAAUGGACGAAAGUCUGAUGGAGCAACGCCGCGUGAGUGAAGAAGGGUUUCGGCUCGUAAAACUCUGUUGUUAAAGAAGAACAUAUCUGAGAGUAACUGUUCAGGUAUUGACGGUAUUUAACCAGAAAGCCACGGCUAACUACGUGCCAGCAGCCGCGGUAAUACGUAGGUGGCAAGCGUUGUCCGGAUUUAUUGGGCGUAAAGCGAGCGCAGGCGGUUUUUUAAGUCUGAUGUGAAAGCCUUCGGCUCAACCGAAGAAGUGCAUCGGAAACUGGGAAACUUGAGUGCAGAAGAGGACAGUGGAACUCCAUGUGUAGCGGUGAAAUGCGUAGAUAUAUGGAAGAACACCAGUGGCGAAGGCGGCUGUCUGGUCUGUAACUGACGCUGAGGCUCGAAAGUAUGGGUAGCAAACAGGAUUAGAUACCCUGGUAGUCCAUACCGUAAACGAUGAAUGCUAAGUGUUGGAGGGUUUCCGCCCUUCAGUGCUGCAGCUAACGCAUUAAGCAUUCCGCCUGGGGAGUACGGCCGCAAGGCUGAAACUCAAAGGAAUUGACGGGGGCCCGCACAAGCGGUGGAGCAUGUGGUUUAAUUCGAAGCUACGCGAAGAACCUUACCAGGUCUUGACAUACUAUGCAAAUCUAAGAGAUUAGACGUUCCCUUCGGGGACAUGGAUACAGGUGGUGCAUGGUUGUCGUCAGCUCGUGUCGUGAGAUGUUGGGUUAAGUCCCGCAACGAGCGCAACCCUUAUUAUCAGUUGCCAGCAUUAAGUUGGGCACUCUGGUGAGACUGCCGGUGACAAACCGGAGGAAGGUGGGGAUGACGUCAAAUCAUCAUGCCCCUUAUGACCUGGGCUACACACGUGCUACAAUGGAUGGUACAACGAGUUGCGAACUCGCGAGAGUAAGCUAAUCUCUUAAAGCCAUUCUCAGUUCGGAUUGUAGGCUGCAACUCGCCUACAUGAAGUCGGAAUCGCUAGUAAUCGCGGAUCAGCAUGCCGCGGUGAAUACGUUCCCGGGCCUUGUACACACCGCCCGUCACACCAUGAGAGUUUGUAACACCCAAAGUCGGUGGGGUAACCUUU